CCUACGGGAGGCUGCAGUGAGGAAUAUUGGUCAAUGGCCGGAAGGCUGAACCAGCCAAGCCGCGUGAAGGACGAAGGUGCCAAGCAUUGUACACUUCUUUUGUCAAGGAACAAAAACAGGCUCGAGAGCCCGAACGCGUGUACCUGAAGAAAAAGCAUCGGCUAACUCCGUGCCAGCAGCCGCGGUAAUACGGGGGAUGCGAGCGUCAUCCGGAUUUCUUGGGUUUAAAGGGUGCGUAGACGGUCUGUUAUGUCAGCGGUAAAAGCCCGGGGCUCAACCCCGGCGAGCCGUUGAAACUGGCUGUCUUGAGAUGUAGAGAGGUAUGCGGAAUGCGCGGUGUAGCGGUGAAAUGCUUAGAUAUUGCGCAGAACUCCGAUUGCGAAGGCAGCAUGCCGGC
rnacentral:rRNA from 1 species